CUUGCUGUUUCAGCACACUCUUGCCCAAGAAGGUAAUAGUUGCAAAUGACUUUAUUGCUCAUUCUGGGAACUUCCUGAAAGACAUAUUACUCCCUGCCAGACUCUGAAUUCCUUGUCUUAAAACCCUCACCUUGUUGGGGUGACCAAUCCUAAAUCAAGACAUCACCAUCCUUACCUAAUCCUAACCAAGACUUCCUCACCAAAAAGGCCUUCCUUAAGCCAGGCUCGAAUAUCUCAUAACAUCCUGGCUUCACCUCCCCACCCCAAAUUCUGUCAAGGUUGCUGUCUUUUACUGCAGUAAGAAUAAGCUCAGCUUUGUCUUAUCAGCAAUUCAUCUCGGUGAUAUCUACAGAGAGCCGACAUUCCACGUGGAUUAGCGAACUGAAGUCUGGAACCAGAAUGACAAGGGAGGAGUUGAAGUCAGAGCUCUGGCACUUGGACAAGUCACUAAUUUUCAGGUAGAGGCCUCCUACUCCAGGAAGCUUUCCUGCUUCCGCAGGCCCUUUCUGGCCUGUAGAGACUCUCCGCCUUGCCCUGCUUUGACUUGGGAAGACAAGAAGAUUGGCAGAAGACCUGUUCCCGAGGUAGACAUUU
rnacentral:lncRNA from 1 species